GGAAACUCGAGCUAAUACCGGAUGUCUUCUUCUGAUCGCAUGGUCGGAUGAAGAAAGAUUUAUCGCUUCGGGAGGGUCUCGCGGCCUAUCAGCUAGUUGGCGGGGCAACGGCCCACCAAGGCGUCGACGGGUAGCUGGUCUGAGAGGACGAUCAGCCACACUGGGACUGAGACACGGCCCAGACUCCUACGGGAGGCAGCAGUGGGGAAUAUUGCGCAAUGGGCGAAAGCCUGACGCAGCAACGCCGCGUGCGGGAUGAAGGCCUUCGGGUUGUAAACCGCUUUCAGUGGGGACGAAUUCAGACGGUACCCACAGAAGAAGCCCCGGCCAACUACGUG
rnacentral:rRNA from 1 species